rnacentral:rRNA from 1 species
UACGAAGGGGGCUAGCGUUGCUCGGAAUUACUGGGCGUAAAGCGCACGUAGGCGGCUCUUUAAGUCGGUGGUGAAAUCCUGGAGCUCAACUCCAGAACUGCCUUCGAUACUGGAGAGCUUGAGUCCGGGAGAGGUGAGUGGAACUGCGAGUGUAGAGGUGAAAUUCGUAGAUAUUCGCAGGAACACCAGUGGCGAAGGCGACUCGCUGGAUCAUUGCUGACGCUGAGACGCGAAAGCGUGGGGAGCAAACAGG